rnacentral:rRNA from 1 species
AAAAGAAAGCGGGGCGGUAGGCCUAAACAUGCAAGUCGCUUGGCAGCACAAAAAGAGCUUGCUCUUACGGGUCGCGAGUGGCGGACGGGUGAGGAAUGCAUCGGAAUCUACUCUGUCGUGGGGGAUAACGUAGGGAAACUUACGCUAAUACCGCAUACGACCUACGGGUGAAAGCAGGGGAUCUUCGGACCUUGCGCGAUUGAAUGAGCCGAUGCCCGAUUAGCUAGUUGGCGGGGUAAGAGCCCACCAAGGCGACGAUCGGUAGCUGGUCUGAGAGGAUGAUCAGCCACACUGGAACUGAGACACGGUCCAAACUCCUACGGGAGGCAGCAGUGGGGAAUAUUGGACAAUGGGCGCAAGCCUGAUCCAGCCAUACCGCGUGGGUGAAGAAGUCCUUCGGGUUGUAAAGCCCUUUUGUUGGGAAAGAAAAGCAGCCGGUUAAUACCCGGUUGUUCUGACGGACCCAAAGAAUAACACCGGCUAACUUCGUGCCAGCAGCCGCGUUAAUACAAAGGGUGCAAGCGUUACUCGGAAUUACUGGGCGUAAAGCGUGCGUAGGUGGUUGUUUAAUCUGUCGUGAAACCCUGGGCUCAACCUGGGAAUGGCGAUGGAAACCUGGGGCGACUAGAUGUG